GCUCCCAGGCUCACAAAGACCCUUUCUUCCGCUUUGGCGGCAAACACCGAGCCACACACAGCAGGACGAAGAAGUGGCGGGUGGAGCAGUGGAUGGAUCGCAGGGAAUGAGACUGGAUUUCUUCUUCCCUUCUUUGCCUGUCCAAAAAACAACAGGGGGGUCCUGUCCCACAGCCAGGGUAGUGAACCCAGUGGUGGACAGGUAACAACGGGGAUCAGGAGAGAAUCUCCCUACAGUCCUUUCCUUAACAAGGAUUGUCCUGUGCCAACUAUGCAGUCCUUGGAGACCACAGGUAGCAAAGAAUAGCCAUGGCAAAACUAUAGAGAUAAUUAAAAAAAAAAAAUCCAGCAGUGUGGUUAUCAGAGGUUUGGAGACAGAGAGUUGAACAGAGUACAGAGGAGUUUUAGAGCAGUGAAAAUACCCUGCAUGAUACUAUAAUGGUGGAUACAUGUCAUUAUACUUUUGUUUAAACCCAUAGAAUGUUCAGCACCAAGAGUGAACCCUAGUGUAAACAAGGACUGUGGGGGAUCACGAUGUACCAAUGGAAGUGAAUCAAUUGUAACAAGUACAUCACUCUGGUGGGAGAUGUAGAUAAUGAGGGAGGCUGUGCAUGUGUAGGGGCAGGAAGUAUAUGGGAUAGCUCUGUAAACUUCCUCUCAAAUUUGCUGUGGACCUUCAACUGCUUUAAAAAAUACUAAAGUCUUAAUUUUUAAAAGAAUAAAAAGAAAUAGAGCAAUUAAAAAAAAAAAGAAAAUAGCCACCAACAAUAACUUACAGCUUAUAAAACAUACCCCCAUCCAUCACCACAUUUGAUGCCAGCAUUAACCUUGCAGGAUAGGUGUGGUUUACCCCCCCAUCUUACAGAGAAGGUAACUGAAGCUCUGAGAGGGUAAGUCAUUUAAACAAGGUCACUUGGUUCAUAAGAGGUAGAGCUAGGAGUCUAAAGUCUUUUCACUUCACAAUAUCAACUUAGUCUUUAAUGUGCAAUUGUCAUCAAUUAUACUUCUAUAAAGCUGAAUGGAACUUAGUAAGUACGUAAGUAUUUGGAACUACGUAAGUAGAGAGAUGAAGUACAAACUUCUUUUAACUAUAUUUACUUGUCUUGGUAUGUUAAGACAAAAUGACUGAAACUUAGUGCUUCUUCUUUUCUUGGUAAAGCACACUAUGUUUUAAAACUUAUUAUUCUGCUUUGUUAAUUGAAAUGUUAAGGGCUUUAAAAAUUGACAAACAUACCUAUCAGUGUAUAAAAGAUGGAUUUAUUACAGAUAUCUAAGAAUGUGAAUUAGAAAUUUUAUCAACAUAAUUUAUUUCACUAACAAAUUCAGGGGAAAUUAUAGGACCAUACCAAUAUAUGGUAAAAGAGUAAUUGAUAUAAUUCAUGGUGAAAUCUCUAAGUAAAAUAAAAAUAAAAGAAAAAUUGUAAAUAAGAGCAUUUAUUGGAAACUAGCAAUGAAAUACUAAAGACAAUUCUGUUAAUAUCAGAAACAAGAUAGAGCUAUCCAUAUUACCACUAUUAUCAGAAGGUGUUUUGAAGGCAGCUAGAAUGUGUGGGGGCAUGGCCAGAGGAAGGGGAGUUAUACAGAGCUGGAGCCUAAGAAAACUGAGUGGAGAAUCCCUCAGAUCCUGGGCCAAGAACUGAGAAGCACAUGUACAGAGACUGACUCUGAAUUCUGCUGCUGGAGGCUGAGAGCUGAAGAGAUAUUAGCAAUUAUUCAGAGCUCGGAGACUUUGGGAUUGCGGCCCAGCUAGAGUGGAUACCGUCAGUGAAAACAUAAGGUAUUCAAUUGAGACCUUAGUAAAGCCAUUUCUUAGUAAAAUUUAUAUCCUAGAAUAAAAGCCGUUCCACAGGAGUUAGGGCAAAAAUAGUAAUUGACCAUUCUAAAACAAAGUCUGACUAGAUCAAGAUCUAUCAAUGCAAAUUAUGUAACCACUACCAAAACAAAACUCAUCACCCUUUAAAGGGAGACAACAUCUCCC
ensembl:lncRNA